AUUGAACGCUGGCGGCAUGCCUUACACAUGCAAGUCGAACGGUAACAGGUCUUCGGAUGCUGACGAGUGGCGAACGGGUGAGUAAUACAUCGGAACGUGCCUAGUAGUGGGGGAUAACUACUCGAAAGAGUGGCUAAUACCGCAUGAGAUCUACGGAUGAAAGCAGGGGAUCGCAAGACCUUGUGCUACUAGAGCGGCCGAUGGCAGAUUAGGUAGUUGGUGGGAUAAAAGCUUACCAAGCCGACGAUCUGUAGCUGGUCUGAGAGGACGAUCAGCCACACGGGGACUGAGACACGGCCCAGACUCCUACGGGAGGCAGCAGUGGGGAAUUUUGGAUAAUGGGCGCAAGCCUGAUCCAGCAUGCCGCGUGCAGGAUGAAGGCCUUCGGGUUGUAAACUGCUUUUGUACGGAACGAGAAGCCCCGGGUUAAUACCCUGGGGUCAUGACGGUACCGUAAGAAUAAGCACCGGCUAACUACGUGCCAGCAGCCGCCGCAG
rnacentral:rRNA from 1 species